UACGAAGGGGGCGAGCGUUGUUCGGAUUUACUGGGCGUAAAGGGCGCGUAGGCGGCCAUCUUUGUCAGGCGUGAAAGCCCCGGGCUCAACCUGGGAAUGGCGUCUGGGACGGGGUGGCUAGAGAUCGGGAGAGGAGCGUGGAAUUCACGGUGUAGCAGUGAAAUGCGUAGAUAUCGUGAGGAACACCAGAGGCGAAGGCGGCUACCUGGACAAUUGCUGACGCUCAGGCACGAAAGCGUGGGGAGCAAAAGGG
rnacentral:rRNA from 1 species